UGGUUCUUCGUUUGUUUGUGUAUUAGUGA
rnacentral:piRNA from 1 species